ACUCUCUUAGUAUAAAUAAUAUAACUGACUUCCAAUCAGUAGAUUCUGAAACUACCGGAAGAGAGUA
rnacentral:tRNA from 1 species